rnacentral:rRNA from 1 species
AGUGAACGCUGGCGGUAGGCCUUACACAUGCAAGUCGAACGGCAGCACAGUAAGAGCUUGCUCUUACGGGUGGCGAGUGGCGGACGGGUGAGGAAUACAUCGGAAUCUACUUUUUCGUGGGGGAUAACGUAGGGAAACUUACGCUAAUACCGCAUACGACCUACGGGUGAAAGCAGGGGAUCUUCGGACCUUGCGCGAUUGAAUGAGCCGAUGUCGGAUUAGCUAGUUGGCGGGGUAAAGGCCCACCAAGGCGACGAUCCGUAGCUGGUCUGAGAGGAUGAUCAGCCACACUGGAACUGAGACACGGUCCAGACUCCUACGGGAGGCAGCAGUGGGGAAUAUUGGACAAUGGGCGCAAGCCUGAUCCAGCCAUACCGCGUGGGUGAAGAAGGCCUUCGGGUUGUAAAGCCCUUUUGUUGGGAAAGGAAAGCAGCAGGUUAAUACCCCGCUGUUCUGACGGUACCCAAAGAAUAAGCACCGGCUAACUUCGUG